GAUGAAUGCUGGCGGCGUGCCUAACACAUGCAAGUCGAGCGGCAGCGCGAGUAGUUUACUACUUGGCGGCGAGCGGCGGACGGCUGAGUAACGCGUGGGAACGUGCCCCAAAGUGAGGAAUAACUGCCCGAAAGGGUAGCUAAUGCCGCAUAUGAUCUUCGGAUUAAAGGAUUUAUCCGCUUUGGGAGCGGCCCGCGUUAGAUUAGGUAGUUGGUAGGGUAAUGGCCUACCAAGCCGACGAUCUAUAGCUGGUCUGAGAGGAUGAUCAGCCAGAAUGGGACUGAGACACGGCCCAGACUCCUACGGGAGGCAGCAGUGAGGAAUCUUCCACAAUGGGCGAAAGCUUGAUGGAGCAACGCCGCGUGAAGGAUGAAGGCCCUCGGGUUGUAAACUUCUUUUAUAAGUGAAGAAUAUGACGGUAACUUAUGAAUAAGCACCGGCUAACUACGUGCCAGCCGCCGCAGUAA
rnacentral:rRNA from 1 species